CUGCGCGAAGGAGAACGAAGCAGAGGCCAACCGGAGAGGGCGGAGACGAAUCGCCGGCCCCUCCUCUCGCCGGCGGGCGGCCGCCAGGCCGGGAGGUCGGCCGGCGACGCGCCACGGCGACCAACCUGGUUACUACUGGAGAUUACUACUUCAUAUUUGCUCAUUGGCAUAUUAUUAGUAGAUGGGGACUGUUUACUUCACAUUGAUUUUGCUUGCUCCAUACAGAGGCAGAGAAUCAUUAUGGAGGUUAGUGUAUUGAUGUUGUGUUUUUGUUUUUGUUUUUGUUUUUUUUUUCUGCUGUGUUACGCUGACCUUGAGGUUUCUAGUAUAGGUUUUAGAUAGUGACUCUUUUAUGGUCCUUAGAAAGUAUGGAGAGGUAUACAUAUAUCUUACUGUUUAACUAUUUUUUAAAGAAGGGCAAAAGUUAUGUCAUGUACAUGUCUAGAUUCAUUAACAUCUAUAUGAAUGUGGGCAAUCCUAAAAAAUCUUUGUGUUUAAUCAUUAAGUAUGAUAACAAAUCAAAGUAUUUUGAAGUAUGAAUCUAAUUGUACAAGUUUUAUACACUAAAUGUACUUUUAUGUUAACUAAUUAUUAGUCAAAAUCUUUCACAUUUGACUUUCUGAAAUCAAAAUACUACUUAUAAAAGCAGGGAGUACGUUUUAAAGGCUGAGGAAAAGGCAUAAGGGCAUCAGCCCCAGUUCCAUUUUUAUUAAAUUAAGCCAACAAUUCUUGUACAGUUUGAGUUCGAUCAGCACCAUAUCUACAUUUCAUUAGGCCAUCUUAAAUAGAGAUCAUGUGAUCUUUGUUUUUUUAAUCCUUUGGAGUAUAUCCCUAAUAAAGAACCUCCAUACUUAGUUUUGGUGCUUGAUUUGAAACUACUAACGUGUUUAUGAUACUUUAAUUUGCACAAAAAGGUCUUCAAUAUACGGAUAGGCAGAAUCCAAAGUACUAGCAUAAUGCAUUAAAUUAGACCGGCACAUUAUCAUCAAACAAGCAGUAAAUGACAUUUGCCAUAUUCUGGCUCGAGUGGUGCUCAAGAAAGCCAGGACAGGAAAGCAAGAGCUGCUGAAACAUCACUGCCAUGUAGUAAGCACACAGCGACCCAACUAUGUAUAUAUACUCCUAGUUGAUUUAGCUUAUAUAUAUAUCCAUCCGUAAGGACCCUGCUACAAACCACUAGGCGCGCAUGCAGCUCCAUGGCUAAAAACACUAAGCAAACGUUCCUAACACCCAGAGCUAAAACUCUUGACGGCUACAAACUACAUAGAUCAUGAGUUCAUGACAGCCACGAAGCUGCAUUACUUGGCGGCCGUCUUCUUGGACUUGGGCACGGCCUUGUCAUGGCCGUGCGCCGGCGGAGCCGAGUUGAGGUCGGGGAGGGACGCGCGGCCGCCGCCGGCGGGCAUGUUGCCGUUGCCGUUAGCCUUGGUCGCGGCCGCCGCCGCCGCCGCCGCCUUCGUCUUGGCGAGCCGCUGCUUGAGCUCGGUACAGCUUCGCGUUCAGCCUGUCCAUCUUGUGCCCUGCUACCAACAACAACAGGAUAACGAAGUUUAGCAGCCAUGUGGCGUCACUGUGUGGACCCCUGUUUUGGACUUAUGUUGCGAGAGGGGGGAAGAAAGACGACAUCGAAGCUGAAACAGUGGACUAUUGUGCUCGAGAUCCGAUAAAUAUUAUCCUGCAUACUCAGGGUGUCCCUGCUUUGGCUACAUCCUCAGAGGGAGCUGAGAGCUGUGAUGAAGAUGCUGCUCGCUGCUGGGGAGUUGGAGACGAGAGGCGAGAGAGGUCGAGCGGCGACACCAGAGGAGGCAGGGUGGGCAGCGAGUGUGAAGUGAUGCGAGAGGCUGGGCUACUACUACCUAAGCUACGAGACCGGUCGCUGUGGGGCAAGGCAGCGAGAGGCAAAAGAGCACACAGGAGAUUGGCACAUCUUUUGAAUAAUCAAGAACAGAGAUUGGAGCAGGCACACGGUGAACCAGAGCUGGUGACCGGUACAACGACAGUACAAUCUGGUAUGUACAGUUUUUAAAUACCUGAAAAAUUUUAAUGCAGGGAUACGGGAACGAUCUUGUUGCUCUUGUGGCCUUUAAAACACUUCCUGUCUAAAGCCUGAGAAAAUUUCAUUGCACGUAUGGAUGAUGUACGUAUGAAAUCAUAUUUUCAUCGAUGUAAUGAUUCCCUGUGACCCGGUAGCAGUAGCGACCUCAACUGUCAUGGCCAUCCAUUUCAAUGGAUGCAUGGAGUCGUCUUUGCUUUGCAGUUGCAAGCUGCUGCCCAUGGAGACAGGCAAUUAAGAUUCCAGGGGAGUACGAGCGUACAACCAUGAUCACCAAUUAAAAGCAAAGCCAUCAUUUGGAUUCCCAGUUCUUGUGCUCAUGCCAACCUCACCCUUUUCUUUUCCCUCCCUCGGAGAGAUCUUUACCGAUCCCGCCGCCCACUAGGUAGAAUCUACUGCUACUUACACAAUGUUAGCGAUCAUGAUCAUGGAAAUGAAAGGCAGAUCUUACUCGAAAUGGCUAAUGUUGUCUAGCUUGCUUUCCCUUUUUUAAAAAAUCUUUUUAAGGGGGGGAAAGUUCGCAUUGCAAGCAAAGAUUCCCUGGAAAAGAAAUUGUUAGGAUGCAUAUGUUAUGCCGCAGCAAACCGGUUGUCAUUGCUGCAUUUGACAAAGGUACCUGUGCUUUGUGACAAUCUUUUCGAUGGUCUUAACCAAUGUACAUUAGCUGCAUUGCUAAUUUGUUUUCAGGAUCAUAAUUGGGCUGAAGCUUCUCCCUGCUUCAUUUCCCAUACACAUAUUAUAUACGUAUGGCACGUACUGCAUCUCCAUUUGAAUAAAUAAAAAGCUGUGCCUGUUGGAAGAAGCUGUUGCCUGAUCAGAUCAGGGGCAGCAAAUAAUGAGCUGCAUGGUUUCUAGAAAGGCAUGAUGGUAGAAGGCAGAUGCAAUGAAGUACAUGGGCAGGGGGGCAGAAAGUUAGAUGUGCGUGGGCAUAAUGAAUGGGCUUUGGCAAAAAGGCAGAACAGGGCCGGUCAAUGUGGCGCAUCAAUUCGCCCCAUGGAAAACUUUUUUCUCCCCUCCUCCCGGCCAACCAUACCAGCUAGCACAAGAAAUCCAGACACGUUGGCCGUGUCAGGGGGUGGUGAAAAAUUAUCAUGGAGCUUGCAGACUCUUGAGCACCCAUACCCCCCAUAACCAGCAAAAUUUUCCUGCAUAUACUUGCAUAUGUAGCUGGCCAAAUUCCAUGCUGUGCCAUGCUUGCUCACAUGGUGAAAGUGAAGAGUAGGUAGCAGCUAUGUAGUACUACUGUGUACACUCUUGGGUUGUGUUGUGUACGCACGCAUAAUGUGCAGUGUAGUAGCACUGUGGUAACAUAGAUGGGAGGAGUAUUUUUUGUUCGGUGUA